UACGUAGGGGGCAAGCGUUGUCCGGAUUUACUGGGUGUAAAGGGUGCUCAGGCGGAUUCGUAAGUCAGUGGUGAAAUCCCGGAGCUUAACUCCGGAACUGCCAUUGAUACUGCGAGUCUCGAGUUUGGAAGAGGUAGAUGGAAUAUCUGGUGUAGCAGUGAAAUGCGUAGAUAUCAGAUAGAACACCAAUGGCGAAGGCAGUCUACUGGUCCAAUACUGACGCUAAAGCACGAAAGUGUGGGUAGCAAACAGGAUUAGAUACCCUGGUAGUCCACACCCUAAACGAUGAAUACUAGACGUUGGUCCUUUUAAGGAUCAGUGUCUGAGCUAACGCAUUAAGUAUUCCACCUGGGAAGUACGAUCGCAAGGUUGAA
rnacentral:rRNA from 1 species